CUCUCUCUCUCUCUCUCUCUCAUUGUAAACUCUCUCUUCUUGUGUCUGGAAAGUGGAGCUUGGCAUCAGGAGCUUUUAGAGAGAAAAAGCCACUGAAGAAGCUUCCUUUCACUGCCUCCCUCAGAUGCGUCGGUCUGCAUCGAAGAAGACGGGUCAAUCCAUUUCUACCACUGCUUCAAUUACUUCUUCGGCUACGGAUCUUUUUCGCUCCUCCUCAAGUAAAGCAUCUUCAAAAGAAAUGGAGCGAAUCGAUAACCUAUUUUACUCAUAUGCAAACAGGUCUUCUGGUAUGAUUGACCCAGAAGGAAUUGAAACUCUAUGUUCAGAUAUGGAGGUGGAUCAUACUGAUGUUAGAAUCUUGAUGCUAGCUUGGAAAAUGAGAGCUGAAAAACAGGGAUACUUUACCCUGGAGGAGUGGCGACAGGGCCUCAAAUCACUGAGGGCUGAUACUCUAAAUAAAUUAAAAAAGGCCCUCCCGGAUCUAGAGAAAGAGGUUAAGAGGCCAUCAAACUUUGUGGAUUUCUAUAACUAUGCAUUCCGGUAUUGCCUAACAGAGGAGAAACAAAAGAGUAUAGACAUAGAGAGCAUCUGCCAAUUGUUGGAUCUUGUUUUAGGAUCCCAUUUCCAGGCCCAGGUUGAUUUCUUCAUUGAGUAUCUAAAGAUUCAGAGUGAUUAUAAGGUCAUAAACAUGGAUCAGUGGAUGGGCUUUUACCGUUUUUGCAACGAGAUAAGUUUUCCAGACUUCAGUAAUUAUGAUCCAGAGCUUGCAUGGCCCCUGAUCCUGGACAAUUUUGUAGAAUGGAUGCGAGCCAAAAGGACCUAAAAUCCAAUGCUUUUGGUUACUUGGUUCUCAGCUGUAAACCAUUGUUGUUAUUUGAGCAGGAUUAUUGGAACUACACCAAUUGAACUCCCCUGUAUUUGUAACUUCCCUUGUUACUUGGUUUAUUUUAAUCCUGUUCUCCACCAAACUUUGUAUUUCACGCUCAAAUUCAAAGUGAUGUUUACUUGUCGUUGUCCAUGCAAGUUCUGCUUGUUGCUGGGAUAGAUACCGUUCAAGAAAAUUCUCCAUUGAGUUUGAGUA